GGGAGUAUAGUUCAGUGGUAGAGUUUGUGCUUAGCAUGCACAAGGUCCUGGGUUCAACCCCUAGCACCA
rnacentral:tRNA from 1 species